rnacentral:lncRNA from 1 species
UUUUUCUCUUGCUGCCACCACGUAACAAGUGCCUUUUGCCACCCGCCAUGAUUCUGAGGCCUCCCGAGCCACAUGGAACUUUUAAGAUUAUUUUGGCAGUUUCUCACUUUACAUUUUAUGAACCAACUGGCUGACAUUUACACAAUAAUGUUGCUUUGGAAUUCAAAUAAUCUUGUAGAGAAUUCGACAGUCAACAAACGGAAAGUGUAAGUACAUCCCAUCUUAAGAAAAAUCCGACCGGGUGCGGUGGCUCACGCCUAUAAUCCCAGCACUUUGGGCGGCCGAGGCAGGUGGAUCAUGAGGUCAGGAGACUGAGACCAGUGUGGCCAACAUGGUGAAACCCUGCCUCUACUAAAAAUACAAAAAAACUAGCUGGGCAUGGUGGCGCACGCCUGUAGUCCUAGCUACUCUGGAGGCUGAGGCAGGAAAAUUGCUUGAACCCAGGAGGCGGAGGUUGCAGUGAGCAGAGAUGGCGCUGCUGCACUCCAACCUGGGCGACCUCUGUCUCAAAACAACAACAACAACAACAAAACAACAACAAAAAAAGAAAAAUCCAUAAAACAAAGAAUUCAUCUAAAUAGUAGGCUCUCUGGUAUUUUUAAAGUAUCUGAUUUACAAGUUUCAAAUGUUUUGUUAACUUUAUCCACCAUUAUAAAUGUGACCAUGGAACUGAUAUACACUGGAACGGUAUGCCACUGCAAGUCUGAAGGGGUUUUAGUCACCAAUACGCUUGGACCCUACUGGCAUCUGAGUUGUAUUUUUCAAAUACUUCAAAUUUUCCAGCUUAAGUUACUAGGUCAAUAUUUAUUCUAUGCCAAGUCGAGUGACUGCUAUGAUGAAACAAUUUUUAACUGAACAUUUUUGGGUUUACAAAACACCUUUCAUAGAUGGCACUGUGGCAGAAUGACUCCCCAGAAUGUUCCCAGAACCUGUGAACAUGUUACAUAGCAAAGAGACUUUGCAGAUGUCAUUGAAAUUAUGGACCUCAAUAUCAGGAAAUUAUCCUGGAAUAUCUGGGUGGGUCUCAAUUACCUGGCCUCUUAAAAACAGAAAACUUUCUGUGGCUGGAGGUAGGACAGAUGUGGAGGAAAGUGAAGUCAGAGAUAUUUGAAGCAUAAGGAUUCCACACACCAUUGCCGGUCUGAAGAUGGAGGACUGCAUGACACUUGAAGCAACUGAGAGAGGAUCCCAGCUGACAGCAGGAAGGAAUGGGACCUCAGACCUACAAAUAUAAGCAACUGAAUUCUGUUAACAAUCUGAAUGAGCUUGGAAGCAGAUUUGCCCCCAGAGCCUAACACCUUGAUCUUGGGCUUGUGAAGACUAUAGCAGAGGAACUGGGCUAACCCACCUGGUCUUCUGAUUUACAUAAGUGUGAGAUGAUAAAUUUGUGUUGUUUUAAACUACUAAGUUUUUGGCAACUUGUUAUUGCUGCAAUAGAAAACAAAUGUACAUAUGUAUGGAAACUGAAUUCUUUUCUCAUACAUACUAGCUUCCCCCACCCCCUUCCCCCCUAAAAAAGAAAAGAGGACAAUGCCAUAAAUAAUGUAGGAGGGCAGAUGUACAACUGUCCUUUUGCUUAGCUAGACUCAUGGGUCACUAUUUGCCCAAGAAGCAUAUUGAUACAAGUAAAUUAAGGUAAAUUCCUUACCGUUUAAAAAAAAAAAAAAAGAUGGAUGACCAGCUCCUAUUAUUCCUAUUAACUAGUUAAUUUAUGUUAAAAUUCAGGAACUGACAAUGUUUUCGGAAAGAUUAUCUUCCAAAGAGUAAUUAAGAUCCAAUUUCAAGAAAUAAACUUAUUAAAAACAUUUCCUCAGUCUAGUCCCAUAGUAUUUUAAGUUUUGUCAAAGAAAACUAUUUGAUUUUUUUCUGUCCCAUUCCUAUAAUCCUCCCCUCCCCUUCAUCUGGACACCCUAGUCCAACAAUCAAAGCUAAAAUCUAGCAAUGCACUUAAGCAAAGGUACAAGAAAAAAACACCAGAAAUAGGCAUUUGGCACAAAGAGGAAGAUCACAUGAUCUUUUCAUGCCAUUUAAGUUACUGGCAACUCUCCUAAUAAAAACCAGCUAAAGCCCCA